GGCAUGGUGGUUUACUGGUUAGCACGUUUGCCUCAUAUCUCCAGGUUUGGGGGUUCAAAUCUCGCCUCUGCCC